CACUUUUACAGAUUUCUUCGGAAUGAAGUUUUAGUGACUGAGUGGCGGACGGGUGAGUAACGCGUGGGUAACCUGCCUCACACAGGGGGAUAACAGUUGGAAACGGCUGCUAAUACCGCAUAAGCGCACAGUACCGCAUGGUACGGUGUGAAAAACUCCGGUGGUACAAGAUGGACCCGCGUCUGAUUAGCUGGUUGGUGAGGUAACGGCCCACCAAGGCGACGAUCAGUAGCCGACUUGAGAGGGUGACCGGCCACAUUGGGACUGAGACACGGCCCAAACUCC
rnacentral:rRNA from 1 species